GAUGAACGCUGGCGGCGUGCCUAAUACAUGCAAGUCGAGCGAACAGACGAGGAGCUUGCUCCUCUGACGUUAGCGGCGAACGGGUGAGUAACACGUGAGUAACCUGCCCUUAACUCUGGGAUAAGCCUGGGAAACUGGGUCUAAUACCGGAUAGGAGCGUCCACCGCAUGGUGGGUGUUGGAAAGAUUUAUCGGUUUUGGAUGGACUCGCGGCCUAUCAGCUUGUUGGUGAGGUAAUGGCUCACCAAGGCGACGACGGGUAGCCGGCCUGAGAGGGUGACCGGCCACACUGGGACUGAGACACGGCCCAGACUCCUACGGGAGGCAGCAGUGGGGAAUAUUGCACAAUGGGCGCAAGCCUGAUGCAGCGACGCCGCGUGAGGGAUGACGGCCUUCGGGUUGUAAACCUCUUUCAGUAGGGAAGAAGCGAAAGUGACGGUACCUGCAGAAGAAGCACCGGCUAACUACGUG
rnacentral:rRNA from 1 species